rnacentral:rRNA from 1 species
UACGUAGGUGGCGAGCGUUAUCCGGAAUUACUGGGCGUAAAGCGCACGCAGGCGGUCUUUUAAGUUUGACGUGAAAGCUCCCGGCUUAACUGGGAGAGGUCGUUGAAUACUGGGAGACUUGAGGCAAUGAGAGGGGUGUAGAAUUCCAGGUGUAGUGGUGGAAUGCGUAGAUAUCUGGAGGAAUACCAGUGGCGAAAGCGGCACCCUAGCGUUGUUCUGACGCUCAUGUGCGAAAGCGUGGGGAGCGAACGGG